AGGACGAACGCUGGCGGCGUGCUUAACACAUGCAAGUCGAGCGGAAAGGCCCUUCGGGGUACUCGAGCGGCGAACGGGUGAGUAACACGUGAGCAACCUGCCCUUAGCUUCGGGAUAGCUCCGGGAAACCGGAAUUAAUACCGAAUAUGACUUUGGCUGACAUCAGCAGAAGUGGAAAGUUUUUCGGCUAGGGAUGGACUCGCGGCCUAUCAGCUAGUUGGUGAGGUAACGGCCCACCAAGGCGACGACGGGUAGCCGGCCUGAGAGGGCGACCGGGCCACGACUGGGACUGAGACACGGCCCAGACUCCUACGGGAGGCAGCAGUGGGGAAUAUUGCGCAAUGGGCGAAAGCCUGACGCAGCGACGCCGCGUGGGGGAUGAAUGCCUUCGGGUUGUAAACCCUUUCAGCAGGGACGAAGCGAAAGUGACGGUACCUGCAGAAGAAGCGCCGGCUAACUACGUGCCAGCAGCCGC
rnacentral:rRNA from 1 species